rnacentral:lncRNA from 1 species
CCUGCAUUCCAAAGUCAAAUACACAGGUUUUAAAAUGACUUACUGUUUUCGAUUAUUCUUUCUACCUACACCUCCACUUAUGUAGAUAGGACAGUUGAUUUUCAGGAAAAUUGCAAUGUAGCUGAAAUACGGAAACCUGCAAGCAAACUGCCUAGAUGCAAAUCAGUCAGAUAAAAAGCAGGAAAAUUGAUGGGACAUUUUUUUGGGGGGAAGGGAAGUGUGUUAUGAAUUCUAUUUAAUUUGGAGCCAGAAUCUCACUUUAAUAUUAAUUGUUAAGAUCAAUGCACCAGAAGGCCAUUAAUGAUUAACAGAAAUACGAUAGAGUUAUGUGAUAAUAAUAACAACAAGGAAUGCAAUCGAUCUUGUCAUAAGGUCAAUUUUAGACAUUUGGCUUAAUUUCCUGUGUUUCCCCUCCAGCCUUCGAUAAAGAUUGGCAUUUACUAGGGCCAGAAUAUCAAAAAUAUCCUUUAAAGGACAGACCAGAAGUCUAUGGGAGCAAGAGCCAGUCUUCCCAGCUCUUCACCUCCACGUAGACAGAGUUGCAACGGUGGUGAUUGUUUGCUGAGCAUCCCUGAGGCCCAGUUCCUAAACUGUGCUUAGUGCAGGAACAUCCCUGGCAGGAGGAUUUGUCAAAGAACAAAUUAUUCCUGACACUUGGUAAAAUGAGGAAUAUUUCCUCCAAGAAGUACAGUUCAGGCUGUCAAAGUUCCAGCUGCUUCCACUGGCCUGACGUUUUGCCCCUUGGUCUGCUUGUGCUCCUGACAAGACAGGGGACUCAGUGUGGAGGUAAGAUGAUAUUUACUGGCCUAAUGGUAAGCCAUCUGUUCAGCUUACUGACCAGCAGUCUAGGCAAGGAACAAUGCUGCUCCCUCACUUAUUGAUUUGAUUUGCUUACGUUUUCCAGUCAGGUAAGCCACAUGUCUUCCAGUUCUUCAGAGAAGAGAUUAUUUCAAGAUUCCCCUGAAAGAGGAAUUUGCUGACCUCCUUCAUUCCCUGAGGAGCCUUGCUACUUUUCAUCCCAGGAAAUGGUUCAUGGCACAGG